GUCCCCAUAGCUCAGCCGGAUAGAGCGUUGGCUUGCGGAGCCAGAGGCCGGAGGUUCAAGUCCUCCUGGGGACACAA
rnacentral:tRNA from 1 species